UAGAGCUAUAUAUAUCACCCAUUCUACAGAUGGCACUGAGGAGGGGACAUUAUAGAGCAUAUCCUAAACAGCUGGUCUUGAGAUGAGGCUUCAAUUGAAGCCCAAUUUGUUAAACUCAGAAACUUAUGCUCAUGACCUCCCCAUGCAAUAUGCUUAUUAAUGAAUAGUCCACUCUUGACGAAGUACUUCCUAAUCACUUAUUUUAGUCAUUAUAAACUCACACAAUAGCUCUAUUCAUUAGCAUAAAGUUUUCUAAGACUAUUGUAGAAAAUGGCACUUUCUUUGCAAAUAGAAUCUGUCUAGGUUCAUUUACAAUAUUAGGUCUGUAUGUCCGCUGGAAUUUAAAAAGCACUUGGGAUAAACACAGUAGUACAGACCUUUAAUCCCAGCACUAAGGAGUCAAGACAGGCAGAUUACUACCAGUUUGAGGCUGGGUUGCUCUACAUAGCAAAAUCUGGGCCAGCCAGGGCUACAUGGUGACAACCUGUCUCAAAAGAAAAAUAAUUACAAAGAGAUUUAGUAUUAAAAAUAGCUAUGCAGUGAUAUUUAAUCAUCACCAUGUGAAAGUAUAAGAAAUGAAGUGAAGUGCAUCUCCCAAGCAGAUGAAACUCUACAAUGGCUGAGGUUAUAGGGUUAACAUUAUAGGUAAGAAAAGCAAAUCUCAGCAAUGUCCUGUCUUUGUCAUCUGAUAAGGGGCAGGGGGAGGUUGUCAGUUAUGAGAGACAUUUUCUUGGAACGGAAAACUAAAGGAGACACCAGCAGUUUAGUGUCAACAAACACUGAGCAACAUAGCAAACACCAGGCUACAAACACUCCUGAUAGCAUCUCUUUCCAUGAACCGCACUGCAAAAGAUAAGCUAUGCCCAGAGACCAGGCCAGCCUCCUCUGUUUUAAUGAGUUCCAGGUCAGUCAGAGACCCUGUCUCAGAAAACAAAAGUGGGCGAAUCCUGAGGAGCAAUACCAGAGUCUCACCUCUGGCCUAUGUACUCAUGUUUGUAUAUGUUUCCACAUAACCCUGCAACUGCACGCACUUGAACACACACAAACAUAUAUGCAUACACAUAUAUACAUACAAAAGUUCACUGAUAUUACUACAUUUGCAUUUAAGACUCUUGACUGUACUUAUAAGCAAAUUCCUUUCAAAAGUUACAAAUGAAAAUGUAUUGUGUGCAUCUAUGAAAUUCUCAAACACAUUUUUUUAAAAAUAAAAAUUACAAGUGAAAUGU
rnacentral:lncRNA from 1 species